GAUGAACGCUGGCGGCGUGCCUAAUACAUGCAAGUCGAGCGAACAGAUGAGGAGCUUGCUCCUCUGACGUUAGCGGCGGACGGGUGAGUAACACGUGGAUAACCUACCUAUAAGACUGGGAUAACUUCGGGAAACCGGAGCUAAUACCGGAUAAUAUAUUGAACCGCAUGGUUCAAUAGUGAAAGACGGUUUUGCUGUCACUUAUAGAUGGAUCCGCGCCGCAUUAGCUAGUUGGUAAGGUAACGGCUUACCAAGGCAACGAUGCGUAGCCGACCUGAGAGGGGGAUGGGCCACACUGGAACGGAGAAACGGUCCAAACCCCCACGGGAGGCAGCAGUAGGGAAUUUUCCGCAGUGGGGGAAAGCCUGACGGAGAAACGCGGGGGGAGUGAUGAAGGGUUUCGGAUCGUAAAACUUUUUUUUUAGGGAAGAAAAAAUGUGUAAGUAACUAUGCACGUCUUGACGGUACCAAAGCAGAAAGCCACGGCUAACUACGU
rnacentral:rRNA from 1 species